rnacentral:rRNA from 1 species
CCUACGGGGAGCUACAGUGAGGAAUAUUGGUCAAUGGCCGGAAGGCUGAACCAGCCAAGCCGCGUGAAGGACGAAGGUGCCAAGCAUUGUAAACUUCUUUUGUCAAGGGACAAAAUCAGGCUCGAGAGCCUGACCGAGGGUACUUGAAGAAAAAGCAUCGGCUAACUCCGUGCCAGCAGCCGCGGUAAUACGGAGGAUGCGAGCGUUAUCCGGAUUUAUUGGGUUUAAAGGGUGCGUAGGCGGACUGUUAAGUCAGCGGUAAAAGCUCGGGGCUGAACCCCGGCGAGCCGUUGAAACUGGGUGUCGUGAGAUGGCGAGAGGUAUGCGGAAUGCGCGGUGUAGCGGUGAAAUGCAUAGAUAUUGCGCAGAACUCAGAUUGCGAAGGCAGCAUACCGGCGCCGAUCUGACGCUGAGGCACGAAAGCGUGGGUAUCGAACAGGAUUAGAUACCCGAGUAGUC